UAUUCAUAUUUUCUUUAUUCUUUUUUCAAAAUAUAAAAUAAAUUUGAAAUAAGAUAUAAAAAGUAAUUUUCUUCAUAAAAAUUCACACAAUUCGCAUCUCAUUUAGUAACUUUGCACAUUUUCAUAAAACGCUUCUAACAAAUCCAUCGACUCGAGAAGCGAUAAUGUAUCAUUGUUUCCUCCGUUAAGUUUUUCUUACUUUACGUAAGAACGAGAAUAGUUUUAAAACGUAUUAUUAAUAAUAAAUCAAUUAGACGAUAAUUGUUUUCAAGCAAGAAGAACAAUUUUAAAUUCACUUGUGAUGAGAAAAAUCUUUAUUCGUAUAUUCGAAUUUAAAAACAAAAGAAAACGAUAAAUUUGAGGUUAGAUUUCUUUAACAUACAAGAUGUUUCAUUCAACAAAGAAACUUGUAAAGUAAUUGUUCCAAUUUCUGGGUUAUUUUUAAUUGUAAGUGAUCGUGAAGUGAUCACGUUCACUCAAUGCCGGUAAAAUAUUUUUCCACUUCCUAGAAGUGAAUCUGAAAAACAUUCUACAAAAGAACCGACAUUAAUUUCACGAUAAGAUAGGACGUAAGUUAAAAAAGGAAGAUUCGGACGCCAAGUGCGUUAUUUGCAUUCCGCCAUAGAGAUUUCUCAGUAAAACGAUCUCGCGGAGUUAUCCAGGAAGUCGAAAUUACAGGAAGUUUGGAAACUAAAAUUUGAUAGCUAUGUUUUUUUUAAAUGACAAUUACACGUGUCGUAAUCGGAACGGAAACGAACGUGAAAGAUGCAGGAAGCAAAAUCUAUGUGAAAUUGUCAAGUAGAUAGACUGAAUAUGUCAGUUCGAUAUAAGAUAAUGAUCGGUUACACGUGGCAACUAGCAUUAUAAUUACGGAUAGAAUUUCAUCUGUCAGAAAAACAAGAAUUUUUUUACUGGAUAUGCCUCUGUGAUUUCACUUAUAAAGAAAGGAAUAAAUUUAUAAAAUAAUUAUAAAA